rnacentral:rRNA from 1 species
UUCGCAAUGCCCGAAAGGGUGACGAAGCGACGCCGCGUGAGUGAGGAAGGCCUUCGGGUUGUAAAGCUCUGUCAGGAGUUAAGAAAUAUAAGUGUGCUAAUACCACAUUUAUUCGACAAAGGCUCCAAAGGAAGCCACGGCUAACUCUGUGCCAGCAGCCGCGGUAAUACAGAGGUGGCAAGCGUUGUUCGGAAUUAUUGGGCGUAAAGAGCACGUAGGUGGGUUUGUAAGUCAGAUGUGAAAGCCUUCUGUUCAACGGAAGAAUUGCAUCUGAAACUGCGAGUCUUGAGUGUAGGAGGGGAGAAUGGAACUUCUGGUGGAGCGGUGAAAUGCGUAGAUAUCAGAAGGAACGCCGGCGGCGAAAGCGAUUCUCUGGCCUAUUACUGACACUCAGUGUGCGAAAGCUAGGGGAGCAAACGGGAUUAGAUACCCCGGUAGUCCUAGCUGUAAACGAUGGGCACUAAGUAGAGGGGCAUUG